rnacentral:rRNA from 1 species
CGGUAUUUUGACCGUGCUAAGGUAGCAUAAUCAAUUGUUUUUUAAUUGAAAACUAGUAUGAACGGUUUAAUUUACUUAAUUAGUUUGUAAUUUUUAAUAGUAAGUUAAAUAUAAAGUAAGAAUUCUUUAAUAAAUUAGGGGACGAUAAGACCCUAAAAGCUUUAUGAUUGGCAUUUAAUUGGUGAUAUCGGUGUUAUUAAUUCACUGGGGCAGUGAGUUUAGGUAUAUUUAAGUAUAAUUAAAAGCUCCUUUAAAUAAAGAUUUCAUGUAUAAGUUACUUUAGGGAUAACAGUGCAAUAUAUU